UGGAUCGAUGAUGACCACUGGUGGCAUAUGAUUUGUAUAUGAUGAAUACCUGUCUGGAACUCUGAGGGCUAA
ensembl:snoRNA